rnacentral:rRNA from 1 species
GACGGAGGAUGCAAGCGUUAUCCGGAAUGAUUGGGCGUAAAGCGUCCGCAGGUGGCAGUUCAAGUCUGCUGUCAAAGACCGGGGCUUUAACUUCGGAAAGGCAGUGGAAACUGAACAGCUAGAGUAUGGUAGGGGCAGAGGGAAUUCCUGGUGUAGCGGUGAAAUGCGUAGAGAUCAGGAAGAACAUCGGUGGCGAAGGCGGGUCUCUGGGCCGAUACUGACGUGAGGAGCGAAAGCGUGGGGAGCGAACAGG